rnacentral:RNase_P_RNA from 1 species
AGAUAACCGCUCCCGGCCGAUUUCGGCGCAGGGGGAGGAACUUCCGGACUCCACAGGGAAGCGCGCUAUCCGAAAGGAUAGGCCGUACGGGCCAAAAUCCGUACGGACGGAAAGUGCCACAGAAAAUAAACCGCCUUCGGGCAAGGGUGAAAAGGUGCGGUAAGAGCGCACCGCGCACUAGGUAACGCGUGCGGCAAGGCAAACCCCAUGCGGAGCAAGGCCAAGCCGGUUCAUAGGUGUCCCGCCUUCGUAACCAAGUAGGCCGCUUAGAGUAAUGGUUCUCACGGUAGUUUUCUACUGACAGAAUCUGGGGUAUGGACCGU